UGAUUGUUUGUAUCAGCUGUGU
rnacentral:miRNA from 1 species